AGGAAGUAUUCUUUAUCAAUUCUCCUUGGAAACUACUUGGAAGACUGUGAAGGAGAGGAAAACCAUCAUGCAAGGAAAACUAUCAGUAAGAAGAUGUCAACACUGUGUCAAGAGAGACCAUGAAGAAAGAGGCUGUGUAUGUGCUAUUGGAAACACCAUGAGAAAUACUUGUGAUAAGGAAAUGUGGCAAGUUUUCACUGUGGAGCACGGAGAACUGGCAUCCCAGUGGAGCAUCUCCACUGCCUUUGAUCUUACUCUCUAUGAUCUGGAUAAGAGCCAUCUGGGGAGGGCUGAGCAUAAACUAUCUGAGUUAUCUUGCAAUACCUGGGGAGGGAUCAGAAAGUUUGCACCUACUCAACAACUCUAACUUUUAUCAUUUUGAACUUCAGGUAUAAUCAAUCCCAAACCAUUUCAUGCUCUGGGGUGAGAGACUCAUGGGCCUCCCAUGACUUCCCAUCGGCUCUGACACCAUCUCUCUACAUAAUUAAAUUGCAGCUUUUCGCUGGGUUUGUCCUCAUGUGGAAUAUUUGAAUUCUAUGUAGUGUUGGUUCUGUGUGCCUUAAUUUACAUAUGCUCAGCUUCAGGGUUCAAACUGUAAGUGAUAUUUAAAAGUUAAUUUUAUAAGAAAUGAUAGAAAAGUGAGGAGGGAGAAAGCAAUACCUGGAGACCUUUGGAGAGGCAGUCAUGGUUAUGAGAAACCAGCUUAGGGUUCAAGAUGUGAGUUCUCAGUUUAUUACAGCUUACAUGCCUGCUGCUUAAUGAUAUGCUUUGCCACAAUGACAGUGCUGUUAGUCAAAUGAAUUGGAACAUUUCUAAGAGGUUAAGAGAUCUGACUCAUGAAUGGUUCUGUAGGAAACUAACCAAGUCCUGUAUGAAUAUGUGCAAUUUGACAUUAGCACAGCUUUGGCAAUGACCAGUGACUCAGACCCAUAGUAAGGACAAAACCUUCCAUGGAUAAAGCUUGGUAGGAUGGCAAAGCAUUCUUGUGAUCCAAAUCGGAAUGUAUUUAGUAUGUGCAGG
ensembl:lncRNA